AAUAGAUACCCGGGUAGUCCCAGCCGUAAACGAUGCUCGCUAGGUGUCAGGCAUGGCGCGACCGUGUCUGGUGCCGCAGGGAAGCCGUGAAGCGAGCCACCUGGGAAGUACGGCCGCAAGGCUGAAACUUAAAGGAAUUGGCGGGGGAGCACAACAACGGGUGGAGCCUGCGGUUUAAUUGGACUCAACGCCGGACAACUCACCGGGGGCGACAGCAAUAUGUAGGCCAAGCUGAAGACUUUGCCUGAAUCGCUGAGAGGAGGUGCAUGGCCGUCGCCAGUUCGUACUGUGAAGCAUCCUGUUAAGUCAGGCAACGAGCGAGACCCGUGCCCACUGUUACCAGCAUGUCCUCCGGGACGAUGGGUACUCUGUGGGGACCGCCGAUGUUAAAUCGGAGGAAGGUGCGGGCCACGGUAGGUCAGUAUGCCCCGAAUCUCCCGGGCUACACGCGGGCUACAAUGGAUGGGACAAUGAGUCCCUCCCCUGAAAAGGGCUGGUAAUCUCACAAACCCAUUCGUAGUUCGGAUCGAGGGCUGUAA
rnacentral:rRNA from 1 species